rnacentral:lncRNA from 1 species
UUAUAAACAAACACAAUAUAUUAAAAUAUUAAAUAAUUAAAUUUUAAUUAAUUUUCAGCAUUAAAUAAGAGACUACAUCUAAUAAGUUCAUAUUCAAGAAUCAAUCAUAUGGAGGAUCGAUUGGAGGGAUAUUUGAUUGAACUUCUUCUUAUGGAGGAGAUGACAACUACUCAGAUGAUGUAAAAUCAAGACUAGAAAUAAGGCAUCGCAGCAUCUUUUUAUGUUGAGGAUUCAUCAAAGCUGCUAUAAUAUACUUCCGUGUCAUCUCCAUAGCAUCUCCAUAGCUCCUGGAGUAGCAGAAUAAGUAGUAGAUGUAGUCCCUGAAAGAUCAUCAGAGCAUGGUGUAGCAGUCUUCGUGAGUAUGUUGGAUGAAUGUGCAUUCGACUCAAAUUCAUACAUUUUGUUUUUAAAAAUACCUCCUGUAGCUUCUACCCAUACAGUAGCAUCAAAUGAAGGCUG